ensembl:lncRNA
GCUUGGUUUCUUCGGGGUCUCGGAGCGUAGGCCAUCGCACGGUCCUUGCUUCCCGCUGGGCAGCCCCCUCCCUGGGAGCGCCCAGGACCCAGCGCAGUCCUAAGCCUUGUCAUCUCCACACCCAGCCCAGCUCCACUGCCCUUGGCCUCUCGCCUCUCCCCCACCCUGGCACCGGCUGCUCCCCGGGGGGGAAGCUCCUGCCACCCCCUCCGCGGCCAAGGCCGCCCAGGACGUGCUGACAGCUCGGCCGGCCUGCACUGCAUCCGCGUGUCCUGCCGGGGCUCCAAGACGUCUGGGCCACCUGGACUCAGAGCCAGGCUGCAGCGCGGAGGCUCCGGGAGGGGAGGCCCCCCGAGGUGCCAGCUGAGCCACGCUGCCAAGAGCUAAGUGCCGGAGGCUCCCUCUGUCCCAAGUCUGGGAUUCAUGAUCUGUCAGGGCCCCUGGGUCCUGGGCUGGAGGCGUCAGGGAGAGAGAGAGAGCGAGAGAGCGAGCGAGCACUGGGGGAAGGGAAGGUGCUUAGCCAAAGGGGCAGGGUGGGGACGGCUGGGGAAGAGGGGGCUUUUCUGGGGACCCCAGGGAGUGGGCUUGGCCCGUAGCCCCGUGCUGACCCCAGCCCCCCCACCGUCUCCCGCAGCCUCUCGGUGUUUCCUCAUCCUCUCCUGCCUCCAGCGUCUUGACCCUGACCAUCAUCACGCGGCCUUGAGCACUGCCUGCCAGUGCCCGCCCUUGUCUCCAGCCACCUCCCAAAUGAGACCGACGGGAGUCCCCCAGGAACGCCACAGGCCACCCCACGGCCAGCACCCCACAGGACCAGGGCACAGGCAGUGCCAGGAGAGGGCUGUGACUCGGUGUGCGCAGGGUCCCGCAUCAGCCAGAGGUUGCCAGCAGAGGUUCGCCAGGGUGAGAAGCUUCCCCAGGCCGCCACACCGAUUUCCUGCCUGCAGAGAACUGGCCUCGGAUGACCUGGGGAAAACGAUGGAGGAGCCGGGAGCAGAAUUCAGCUCUGCGGCGCCCGUCGCUGUCUCAGCCCCAGCUCGCGAGUUCAAGAACAACCCUGUUCCUCACAAGAGCCCGGAACCCCAGUGGCUGCCUGCGGGGGGGCCCAGGAGGCAGCGUUUUUUUGUUGGGCUUCUCUGGGAGACCUGGCAGCAGCUUGGAAGCGCCUGCUGGGGUUGGACCCCCAUGGCUGUCACCCAGUGGCUCCGAAGACCCCCUGGGCUUGGCCUCCCUGACAGAGACAGGUAAGGCAGGAACCUGGCUCAGAGGAGGUGACUCCCCAGGACGUCCCCAUCGCCCAAGACCCCAUCAGAGGUUUCCAUGGAAACACACCCUCCAUGCAUGCAUUGCCCAGGACCCUCUUCCUCAGAAGCCCCGGGGCCACCCCUGGGCUCCCUGCUUCCUGGGCCCCUCCCACCCCAUCCUGCCCCCCUUCCAAGAAUGCCCUCCCCUGGGUAAUUGGACCCUCGGGCCAUUGACAUUUAAAGAAAUGUUCUUGACCUUUUGAGCAGUUCCAUAAAAUCACAAAAGAGUCUCUAAAUAUUACCACAGCCUCCUCCCUGCCCGGGCCCUGGCAGAGACGGAUUUUCCUGGCUGCCUCAAGACAGAGAGAAAAAGAGCAAAAUUGUUGGGAAGAAGGAGACGCUUUGCUCACACAGCUUCGUUUGGGCAGUGGAUCCACGGGGACCCCUGUUACCUGCACCACUGCCCUCCCAUCACCCCACAGCCACCUGCUGUUUCGCAGGCACCUGCAUCAUUGCAUUUAUGUAAAACGUGCAGGAGGUGUGCACUGGGGUCCCCCGGGGCAGGACAGACCUGCUGUGUUUUACAGACCUGAGGGGGCUUCGUGAAGUCCUCUGCCCCCUUCUCCUCCCCUACUGGAGGAACCAGCUGAAACCACGGAGAGCGAAGCCGCCCCAGCUAGGAGAGAUCUUGGGGAGGAAGGGAAUGGAGGUCUUCAGAGAUAUUUUGAGAAAAAUCCAGAAAAUUGCGAGCUGAGACUCCUUCCAUCAAUGGAGUGGAAAUCUAAAUAGUUGUUCCCAUAUGUUUCCCAAAGCAGUCUCGUCACCUCAUUAGGAGUUGAGAAACUCCAGUUUAGGGGUCAGAGAGUUGAAAAUGAUUUUUACAUUUAAAAAUAACUUUAUUGAGAUGUAAUUCACAUACCAUAAAAUCCACUAAAGGGUAUAAUGUGGAACUUUGUAUUGCUAUUAUGUAGAAUGUUCCCAGAGUGGUGCGACUGUUACCACAA